UCUCACAACACCUUUUUUACAUAAAAAAAUAUUAUUAGUCUUAAUAUUAAAUAAAUAACGUGAAACGUUAUUCAAGUAGUUAUCCCAAGGAUAAAAAUAAAACUUUUCCAAUCCUUUCCCUUUUAUUACCGUUACUUUUAGAUCGUUAUUUUCAAUUGUGCUAAACAUUCGCACCCACACUAUGACCGACGCCAGUAGGCGCCGUUUGUUAGCUAAAAAUAAAAUCCAACGAAGCCGCAUUAUAACAGUUCCCUUCACGAGUAUCAAACCACAAAUACGCCGGAGUUGUUAUUACGAACGUCGGUGUCGGCGUAGCAUACUUUCCAUAUAACAACGGUUUUUUUGGGAAACUGCUGAAGAAAAACAUUGAAAUUUGCAUUCAAAUUGCCAUACAGAGUGGGUAUGUAAUAACAAAGGAGACGACGCUUCAACCAAAUUGCUACUAAACUUUGUGUAUAUUGCCAAAGCAAGUGCACUUAAUGAUUUCUACCUCAAUUGUAGCGUCGAUGAUGAUAAACGUGACUGAUAUCCAAGAAGCACUUUAUUCCUCAGUUCUUAAUUUAGUGUUCCUAAUUAUAAUUAUUUGGAAUUUAGUGGAAUACACCUUAGAUAAUUUUGCUGUAUUUUUAAAGAAAAAUUGUUAUUUUGUAUUGUCAUAGUAAUAAAUCAAUAAACCAAAUUGAAACGAAUCGAUUUUA